CAGCGGUCCGGCCGGGAACUCAAAGGAGACUGCCAGUGAUAAACUGGAGGAAGGUGGGGAUGACGUCAAGUCAUCAUGGCCCUUACGACCAGGGCUACACACGUGCUACAAUGGCGCAUACAAAGAGAAGCGACCUCGCGAGAGCAAGCGGACCUCAUAAAGUGCGUCGUAGUCCGGAUUGGAGUCUGCAACUCGACUCCAUGAAGUCGGAAUCGCUAGUAAUCGUGGAUCAGAAUGCCACGGUGAAUACGUUCCCGGGCCUUGUACACACCGCCCGUCACACCAUGGGAGUGGGUUGCAAAAGAAGUAGGUAGCUUAACCUUCGGGAGGGCGCUUACCACUUUGUGAUUCAUGACUGGGGUGAAGUCGUAACAAGGUAACCGUAGGGGAACCUGCGGUUGGAUCACCUCCUUACCUUAAAGAAGC
rnacentral:rRNA from 1 species